rnacentral:rRNA from 1 species
AAUGAGGCGAACCGGGGGAACUGAAACAUCUAAGUACCCCGAGGAAAAGAAAUCAACCGAGAUUCCCCCAGUAGCGGCGAGCGAACGGGGAGGAGCCCAGAGCCUGAAUCAGUGUGUGUGUUAGUGGAAGCGUCUGGAAAGGCGCGCGAUACAGGGUGACAGCCCCGUACACAAAAAUACACAUAUUGUGAGCUCGAUGAGUAGGGCGGGACACGUGGUAUCCUGUCUGAAUAUGGGGGACCCAUCCUCCAAGGCUAAAUACUCCUGACUGACCGAUAGUGAACCAGUACCGUGAGGGAAAGGCGAAAAGAACCCCGGCGAGGGGAGUGAAAAAGAACCUGAAACCGUGUACGUACAAGCAGUGGGAGCACGCUUAGGCGUGUGACUGCGUACCUUUUGUAUAAUGGGUCAGCGACUUAUAUUCUGUAGCAAGGUUAACCGAAUAGGGGAGCCGAAGGGAAACCGAGUCUUAACUGGGCGUUAAGUUGCAGGGUAUAGACCCGAAACCCGGUGAUCUAGCCAUGGGCAGGUUGAAGGUUGGGUAACACUAACUGGAGGACCGAACCGACUAAUGUUGAAAAAUUAGCGGAUGACUUGUGGCUGGGGGUGAAAGGCCAAUCAAACCGGGAGAUAGCUGGUUCUCCCCGAAAGCUAUUUAGGUAGCGCCUCGUGAAUUCAUCUCCGGGGGUAGAGCACUGUUUCGGCA